CACAUACUCCCUCCGUCCGAAAUUACUUGUCAGAGAAAUGAAUGUAUCUAGACGUAUUUUAGUUUCAGAUAUGUUCAUUUUUAUCCAUUUUUAUGACAAAUAAUUCUAGAUGGAUGGUGUCUUUG
rfam:Triticum aestivum genome assembly, contig: Triticum_aestivum_CS42_TGACv1_scaffold_306692_4AS